rnacentral:rRNA from 1 species
UUCCUAUAGGGCGAUGAUUUAGCGGCGCGAUUCGCCCUUGUGCCAGCAGCCGCGGUAAUUCCAGUCUCCAAUAGCGUAUAUUAAAGUUGUUGUGGUUAAAGAGCUCUGUAGUUGAACCUUGGGCCUGGCUGGCCGGUCCGCCUCACCGCGUGCACUGGUCCGGCCGGGCCUUUCCCUCUGUGGAACCCCAUACCCUUCACUGGGCGUGGCGGGGAAACAGGACAUUUACUUUGAAAAAAUUAGAGUGCUCCAGGCAGGCCUAUGCUCGAAUACAUUAGCAUGGAAUAAUAAAAUAGGACGCGCGGUUCUAUUUUGUUGGUUUAUAGGACCGCCGUAAUGAUUAAUAGGGACAGUCGGGGGCAUCAGUAUUCAACUGUCAGAGGUGAAAUUCUUGGAUCAGUUGAAGACUAACUACUGCGAAAGCAUUUGCCAAGGAUGUUUUCAUUAAUCAGGAACGAAAGUUAGGGGAUCGAAGACGAUCAGAUACCGUCGUAGUCUUAACCAUAAACUAUGCCGACUAGGGAUCGGACGGUGUUAUUCAUGACCCGUUCGGCACCUUACGAGAAAUCAAAGUGCUUUGGGCUCCAGGGGGAGUAUGGUCGCAAGGCUGAAACUAAAGAAAUUGACGGAAGGGCACCACCAGGGGUGGAAGCUUGCGCUUUAUUUGACUCAACACGGGGAAACUCACCAGGUCCAGACACAAUAAGGAUUGACAGAUUGAGAGCUCUUUCCUGGAUUUUGUUGGGUGGUGGUGCAUGGCCGGUCUUAGGUGGUGGGGUGGACUUGUCUUGCUUAAUUGCGAAUAACGAACGAGACCUUAAACCUGCUAAAAUAGCCCGCAUUUGCUCCGGCAGGAGCCGCUGGCUUCUUAGAAGGGGAAUUUCGGGCUCACAGG